AUGAGCUGGUAGGAGAGUUUGCUGAGUUUUUAUUCUUUUAUGGUUCUUACAUGGCACAAAAAGGUAGUGGAAAUGAAAAUAAAAAAAGGGUCAAGAGGCCUGGGAGUUGUUUUAUUUCACAGGCUUGCAGAGCACAUCUAAAGAGGAGCUAUUGAUGGCAGCAGUAUAGAAUUAAAAAGAAAGAAAGCAAAAACUUUUUAUGACUCCUUGCACUGUCUCAGCCAAGAAGCCAUAAAUCAGUAGCAAGGUCAUAGCAGUAGAUCACAGAACAGGUCAUUCCAACACAGGCUGAAUUGAAUUCUGGUGUCACCAAGGGCAGCGUUUGAUUCCGCUGCUUUUCCUCAGUGUGAAGUACUCGGGGUGUCAGUGGCAGAGAUGGUAGAAGACACAACAGCAGCAACCCUGUACCCCUUGAAGUGGAAGCAUUUCUGCACUCAGCCAAAUCUGAGGAAGCGCCUGCAAGUUGUUCAGGACUGGCUUCUACCCAAAUCCUCAGGAACAUCUGUGCAUCCAUCACCAUGCUCAGAGCUCAACAAUGCCUUGGUGGAAAGGGUUUUAACUCAUACAUUUGACUUUGCAGUGGAGGGGUCAAGACCUUCACAAACUGUAGGCUGAGGUGUGAGGGGGUUUGAGCUGCAAUGUUUUAUCUGCCCUAAACCAAAACUCUGCCUUGAGAGCAAACAUAGACUUCACACGUGCUGAUGUCUCCACUGAGGCUGCAAAUUUGGGGCAAUGGCAGGGGUGUCAUGCAAGAACACACUCAACCCUGGAGUGCCUUAGCAGUGACAUUGGCAGUGUGGAACUGGUUCCCAACCCAGGAGAGAGGAACAGAGGGACACUGGACUGUGCCAGGAGGCAUUGCUUGCUGGCUGGGAAGGCACUCAGAUACCAGAGAGCUGAAGGGUAAGAUGAGAGAAUCUGCAUGAAAGAGACUACAAUAUGAGAGAAAAAUGAGGCUGUCACAUUAAAUUGCUAUCCCUGGGUAUCUGAAUUAACACAUCAUUGAAACAAAUUAUACAGUUCCCUCAAGAGUUCUUGCCCAGCCCUUUGCAGACACACAAAAAACAUUACAACUUUUAUCUUCAGCUCACACUGAGAGGUUCAUCUUCACCAUGGUUACCCUCUAGCCAAUUUUGUUGGGUUUUUUUAAUCAAAGAGUGAGGAAAAAAAUGGAGUUUCAAAUAAGAGUUUUAUCAGCACUGCCCACCAUUGUAUGUUCCUCACCUACCCUGCCUUGCUUGCACGUGUCAGUGGACAGCAGCAAGCAGAGUUUUUCCUGAUAGAUGAGGAAUCAGGUAAAUGCCUGUGCUAGAUGUCAGAGUACAAUUCCUCAUGGCUGCCUAGAACUUCAAUAAAAAUUUUCACAUCCAUCCUCA
rnacentral:lncRNA from 1 species